AAAUCAGUCAAAUCUCUAAGAAAUAACAGUUAAAUUCUGUAAAGUUAUGGGGAUUUUUACAGCGUGUGACAAUUUAUUUACAGUACAAAAUGUGAUGUUUUUCUUUUACGUUGUGUAGGCUACAUAUUGGGACUUUUAUAGAAAACAAAAAGGUUCUAUUUAGUCAAAUGGAAUGCAAAAACUUUGAAGCUCAAUAUCUCAAAACUGCUCAGAAUGCACAUAGGACCUUAUAAUUCCAAGGUGAGGAAAUAAACAGUUUGCUAGAUUAAGGGUUUUAAACAACCUACCCCAUACACACACAUUUAAAUGGUAUCCUUGUUCUGCAGGUCUGAAUUUGUUGUCUGCAUUGCAUUGUGAAUAAUGGUAAAUGCGGCCUUCACAAGGUUAAUUUCUUUUUUCUCUUAUUUUACAGGGAAGGAUUGACUCCUGCUUAACGAUAAAAUAAUGAAUGUCAUUUUAAGGCGGCUGUCGCUCGAGUGGGUGGAGCGUUGGGGGGGUCCCGGGUUUUAGUGCAUUACUUUGCCACUGAAUUUGCCCUGUGCCAAGGAGUAAAUCUGAGUGAAGCCGUGCGAUGUGACAUCAUUUACUCAGAAUUCCCUAAUUUGUCAGCAUUAAUAUUUCAGCUGCACCAUUGCCUGUCACUGAGUGCCAGAGAUGACUGAUCAAUCUAUAAAAUGGCUGCGGCUAAUUUAUUGAAUAUUUAUGUGCAAUGUCAUGUGUGGGGCGCGAGUGGAAUUUAUUUCGCUCGCUCGCCUCUCUGCUUGAGAACUUUUCUAACUAAUAUGACUUUUUUUAAGGAAGGGAAAGAUGCAUAAUGAUAAUGGGAUACAGAGACUGCUGUCGGGAGCGGAGUGACUUUCCUCUCAGCGUGAAGACAGACCUACGUCUUGGAAGGUAGGUGCAGCAUCUCCAAAUGACAUCUGGAGAACAGGCGUUGAAGAUAAGCAAGAAGCAAAGGACAAAUGUUGCCGCAGCUCAUCGUUAUCUUCCUAUUAAUUCAGAGGAUCUGAAAAACAAGCCUCAUUGUGUACAAUCUUGAUCAUUGCAGUUCGGUUGCCUCCUCUGCCAGCCCUGUCGGCCCAUCAAAGGGCGAUUUUCCACGCCGGCAGGCCAGGAGACCGCGGGCUGAAAGAGAGAAAGAAAGGCCUGUGCCGUAGCCAGGGACAGGUGGGAGGCGGGGCCCUGGCCACCAGCGUGCCAAGAUUUCAACUCGGGGACAGUGAGUGAGCUCUGGGAAUGGGCCAGUCAGUCACUGGACUGAAAAUAGUCAUGCCCUAACACCCUGACUGUGCUGGGCAAGGGGGAGGGCCCAGAUACAGCCAGUAUAUGACAGCAUAAAUUGUUUGGCUGAGACUGUUUGCUUGCUUAUAGGGGAUAUUACAGGAAAGCAUUAACCACACUGUUAUCUGUAGAAUAUAGACCAGUAUAAACCAAUGUUAGAAAGUAAAUAAUUCAAUGUUUUCCUUCACCUAUUUUUUUCCAGUAAAUAGAAUAACGUGUUGAAAUAUCAAGCAUACAUCACUGUUUUUAAAUGUCACAUUUUUUGAUCCAAAAUAGCUUUUGUAGCCAUGUAAGGGUGAAUAACUAAACAUGCUUUCACAAACUGUCCUCUCUCUCAAAGGAGCAUUAGGAGGUUCAGGUAAUUGUAGUGAACCGGUUCCUUCACACAGUUAAUGCAAAUCACACUGUUCACAGAAACAUUUCAUUCAGGUCCCUGCAUAAAAAAACCUGCAGUUUGUGCUUUUAGCAACACAUUGAGGUAUGCUGUGCUGUUCAUCAUCAUUUAUGAUACUUUUAUAGGUGUUAGAGUGCUCAGUGAGUUAAUGGUGUAAAUACAGAUUAUAAAAUUCAACUAAUAAACUUCUUGCUGUC